UACAGAGGGGGCAAGCGUUGUUCGGAUUUACUGGGCGUAAAGGGCGCGUAGGCGGCCUGCUAAGUCGAACGUGAAAUCCCCGGGCUCAACCCAGGAACUGCGUCCGAUACUGGUUGGCUUGAAUCCGGGAGAGGGACGUGGAAUUCCAGGUGUAGCGGUGAAAUGCGUAGAUAUCUGGAGGAACACCGGUGGCGAAGGCGACGCCCUGGACCGGCAUUGACGCUGAGGCGCGAAAGCCAGGGGAGCAAACGGG
rnacentral:rRNA from 1 species